UACGGGGGGGGCAAGCGUUGUUCGGAAUUACUGGGCGUAAAGGGCUCGUAGGCGGCCAACUAAGUCAGACGUGAAAUCCCUAGGCUCAACCUAGGAACUGCGUCUGAUACUGGAUGGCUUGAAUCCGGGAGAGGGAUGCAGAAUUCCAGGUGUAGCGGUGAAAUGCGUAGAUAUCAGGAGGAAUACCGGUGGCGAAAGCGACUCUCUGGACGGCAACUGACGCUGAGGCACGAAAGCGUGGGGAGCAAACAGG
rnacentral:rRNA from 1 species